rnacentral:lncRNA from 1 species
AUGGCAAGCUGUGUGUGAAAAGAGAAAAUAAUGAUCAGCUGAGUUCUUAAACACUGACUGAAAACACACAUUUCACCUCAAAGAAUGAAAGUGGACACCGGGAAACCAGCAGGAACGUGACUGAAAGGAAUUCUCUGUUUACUGGGAGAGACUACAAAGGAACAGACUCCCAGAGACCUGUGUGAGACCAAGUGCCCAGGAGGAGCAGGACUGAGCUGUUUCCUUCCCAAAGUCAUUCCACACACCUGCUCCCAAAGGCAGCUCUCUGACCAGCUUGGUGCAUCAGCCCUCAGCUACGGAAUCUAAGAUCAGUCACAGUCUUCUGUGGUGCUUUGGAUAAAAGAUUGCUUUCAGCUGCAUUUUAC